rnacentral:ncRNA from 2 species
GUCGGCUGCGGAGAUGGCAUGCCUCCCUGCGGUCGCCGGCGGCGCGUGGCGCGCGGCCCGGACCCUCAACCGCCGGUGCGUCCGGCUGAUGAUGCCUGCGUGUUC